CCCAUUUUAAUGAGGUGUGUUCAAGGUUAUAUUCCCUUCAGAUGUUUCUUCACACUAUACUGGGUACUUGGUUGUGGCGUUCCAGUAUUCUUAUCAUGCU